rnacentral:rRNA from 1 species
CAGCCGCCGCGGGAAUACGAAGGGUGCAAGCGUUAAUCGGAAUUACUGGGCGUAAAGCGUGCGUAGGCGGUGAGUUAAGUCUGCUGUGAAAUCCCCGGGCCCAACCUGGGAAUUGCAGCGGAUACUGGGUCACUAGAGUGUGGUAGAGGAUAGUGGAAUUUCCGGUGUAGCAGUGAAAUGCGUAGAGAUCGGAAGGAACAUCUGUGGCGAAGGCAACUAUCUGGGCCAACACUGACACUGAGGCACGAAAGCGUGGGGAGCAAACAGGAUUAGAUACCCGCGUAGUCCCUGUCUCUUAUAC